CUGGGGCUACUGUUGCAGGCUGGGAAACCUUAGUGAGCGUAGAGUGAACUGUAGACGUACAUCUACUUCAUGGAAUGGAUUGACCUGAAUACAUUUGAUCUGUGACUUUUUGGCUCCCUGAAUGCUUCUGUCAUGCUAGGUCGUGUUUCUAAUUUUUACAUCAGCAUUAUGUUUGAGGCCUACUUGCACCAAGCAUUCUCUCCUCGCAAACCAUCAGGACGGGUGAGAAAUCUACUGCGCUCCAGGUUAAUGAGGUCAUUGCAGGAGAAGUUUCCCCACACUCAGUUUGAUGUCACUUUUUCACGUGCAUGAACACAGUCAUCACUAGAGAAUGUGUCUGCUAAUAACCAAUCUACGUACAAUGCCUUUGGUUUUUUUAAAGCAAAAUAGAAUCUGAUUUCUUUUUGGUACCAAGGAAACCUCAACUAUUUUUCUUAUAUGUCUGUGGUAGCUCUGAGUUCUCUUUGGCUGUUUUCAGUGAGGAAUCUUGCAAACCACAAGACUUGAAUAGCAAAGACAUCUUAAGUCUCUUCUGAACAACAUUAAGUGCACACUUUUUAUGUCCUGCUUGUGCAUGGUUUUGGAUGCUGGAGGACUUUCUCAUUUAAUCUUUUCAUUGUAGCUUUCUAUUAAUGGUAUACUUGUUUAGAAAAAUAAUAUUAAAUCAAAGAAGCAGUUUAUAUAAAGCUUGUUCUAUAAAGCAGGAGAGCAAAAGAAGGAAGUACCUUUUUGAGGAGAGUUCAUCCACCUCUGUCACAUCAUUGCCUGCACAUCUCUGAACAUCUGACAGUUUUUGUUAAUCUAGUUUCACUCCCCAGUUCAACUUCCCAUAUGGAAAGCUGGAGUGAUGUCUGAAUAACAGCAAGUAAUAUCUGAAGUGGCAGCAACUGGCAACUCUGACAUUGAGCUUGGCUGUAGCCAUUACCCAGAAUCCUUCCACUCUUCUUGAGAAGCAAUUACAAUUUCACAGGUUGGAAUUAAAAUUCCCUGCGGUAUGCAAUAGAGUAACUGAAACUGUCAAAGUGAUUUCAAGCUGCUAAUCUCUUGCUGCUCAAAGAGUGAAAAUAGAGCCCCUCAUACCCAGGCACAGAUCUGACAACUUAAAAACUCCAGCCUUCCACUGCGUUUAAAUACAUAUGGAGAGUGGCUUGAUCUGCUCACAGAGGAUAUCUGUAAAGAUGUUAUGUCUAUGAACAUUUGUGUGUUAUUAACAAGUCUAUCUUUUUUAACUUUAAGAUGUGUGUAACUUCAGAGACUAAGACAAAUAUAAAAGAAGUCUUAUGCAAAAGCUCUAAGAAUUUGAAGGAAUGAGUAGGCAUGUGCCUGUCUGUGUGAGGCUUAUUAAAAUCUUUACUUAUGUAUUUUCAUACAUGUAGUAUUUUUUGCUGGAAAAAAUUGCAUGCAACUUUCCAAAAUUUUAUUUUCACAUAUUUAAACCCCACAUUGUACUUUGAGUGCACUGUGUUUGAUUGUAUAGAUAGGAGCAAAGAGCAUUUAGAAAUCAAAAACAGAGGGAAAAAAUGAGAGGCUGUAAAGCUAGGGUGCAAAAUAAAAAAUGUUAGUGCAAAAGCUGUGAAGUGGGUUUGAACUAGGAGAGACAGCCCACAGAGUUAGGGACUGGCUGCAAAACACCAUUAGACUUGUUCAGAGGCAGGGUUCAUCCACCAGACAAUUAGGGUUAGAAUGAUUGCUGGAAAGUAUUUGUGCAAAUAUCAUUAAAUGUCUUUUCAUUCAUGGGUGCACUCAACAUUGAAUGCUUAUUUCUUUAAAUGAAGAUGGUUUCAGUAGCUGGUAGAGGGGAGAUGAAUUAUUUUAAUUUUAAAGAAGCCAAAUUAAAAAAAAAAAAAAACAGAA
rnacentral:lncRNA from 1 species